UGGGGUAUAUUGGACAAUGGGGGCAACCCUGAUCCAGCAAUGCCGCGUGAGUGAUGAAGGCCUUCGGGUUGUAAAGCUCUUUUGUUAGGGACGAUGAUGACGGUACCUAACGAAUAAGCUCCGGCUAACUUCGUGCCAGCAGCCGCGGUAAUACGAAGGGAGCUAGCGUUGUUCGGAAUUACUGGGCGUAAAGGGCGCGUAGGCGGCUUGAUAAGUUUGAUGUGAAAGCCCAGGGCUUAACCUAGGAAUAGCAUUGAAUACUGUCAGGCUAGAGGCCGAGAGAGGGAAAUGGAAUUGCGAGUGUAGAGGUGAAAUUCGUAGAUAUUCGCAAGAACACCAGUGGCGAAGGCGAUUUCCUGGCUCGGUACCGACGCUAAGGCGCGAAAGCGUGGGGAGCAAACAGG
rnacentral:rRNA from 1 species